rnacentral:misc_RNA from 1 species
GAAAUGCGAUAAGUAAUGUGAAUUGCAGAAUUCAGUGAAUCAUCGAAUCUUUGAACGCACCUUGCGCUCCUUGGUAUUCCGAGGAGCAUGCCUGUUUGAGUGUCAUGAAAACCCUCAACCCUAGAUUGGUUAAUACCUUUCUUUGGUUUGGAUUUGGACGUUUGCCGAUGAUAAGUCGGCUCGUCUUAAAAGUAAUAGCUGGAUCUGUCUCGCGACAUGGUUUGACUUGGCGUAAUAAGUAUUUCGCUAAGGACAUCUUCGGAUGGCCGCGUUGCAGGACUAAAGACCGCUUUCUAAUCCAUUGAUCUUCGGAUUAAUACUCUUGACAUCUGGCCUCAAAUCAGGUAGGACUACCCGCUGAACUUGAGC